CUUUUCCCUAAAGAAGAGUGAAGUCUCACCAGAAAAUGCAGGGAAGUUGCUGUUGCCUAUUUUUUGGAGGUUAGUACCUUCUUCACAUGUACCAAAUACAUCCACCCCAACAUCCUGCCCAGGAGAUAACCUGAUGCUCAAGGCCAAGAGGCAAGAUGCAAGCCACAGAACAUGGAGCACUGGCACAGCUCUCCCACCCGUCAGGGACACGGAAAACGCUGCUGCCCUGGCAAAGUUUGGAGCUUUCUGUCACUGAAUGCCAAUGAUCUCCAUCCACACCAUCCAGCCCCUGCUCCUGAUGUGCUGUAAAACCCCGUGAAUCCCCUUCAGCCCCUCCCUCAAAAUGUAUUUUCAAAUCCUUGCUGGCAUAAUUGAUCCUAAUUAUUAUAAGCAUUAGAUAUUAAAUGCAUUCCUACAUGCAAUGUGGCUUCAACUGUGGGCUUUCAGCAAAGUCUAUUGUAUAAAUAAAUAACUGGAUUUCUUAUUCAAGA